rnacentral:rRNA from 1 species
UACCAGCUCUCCGAGUGGUAGGGAUGUUUAUUGGGCUUAAAGCGUCCGUAGCCGGCUUAGCAAGUCUCCUGUUAAAUUCGGCGACCUAAUCGUUGAGCCGCGGGAGAUACUACUAGGCUAGGAGGCGGGAGAGGUCAACGGUACUUCCGGGGUAGGGGUGAAAUCCUAUAAUCCCGGGAGGACCACCAGUGGCGAAGGCUGUUGACUAGAACGCGCUCGACGGUGAGGGACGAAAGCUGGGGGAGCGAACCGGAUUAGAUACCCGGGUAGUCCCAGCUGUAAACGAUGCGAGCUAGGUGUUGGGGUGGCUACGUGCCACUUCAGUGCCGCAGGGAAGCCAUUAAGCUCGCCGCCUGGGGAGUACGGCCGCAAGGCUGAAACUUAAAGGAAUUGGCGGGGGAGCACCACAAGGCGUGAAGCUUGCGGUUC